AGUUAUGUAAGUCCAGUGGCAAGACAAAAGUCAAGAUGACUAGUGAGAGUCCAGGAUGAUAUGGAUGACCUUGGCUUCUUUGAUAUCUAACCACACUCUAAGCACUCCACAGUGCCUGCUUCAGCCACUUUCAUGGCCACUAGAACAAAUUGUUUUCAUCUGCCCAUUCUACCAGGUAAUACAUGAAGAAUUUGAUCCUCUGGACUACCAUACCAUGAAUCUUUAUGUUCGGUGGCAAAAAGGGCCAUGCAUGGUCGCUUGAUGAUUAAGACUGGCCCAUCCACUUGUGAUCCUACACAAUGACUGAUCCUACAAUUGCUACAGAUAUCAUCAUUGCGACUCCUGCCUUCUUUUUAUCAGUUGAUGCCCAACAGAUUUGGCUCCAUCCUCAUACUUUCACCCUAUGUGUAUCUACCUUCCUCGUGUGUGUUUCUUGUAAACAGCAUAUGGUAGGGUUUUGGAUUCUAAUCCACUCUGCUAUUCACUUGCAUUUUAUGGGUGAGUUCAUUCCAUUCACAUUCAUAGUUAUGAUUACUACCUGUGUAUUUCCCAGCAUUUUGAUUUCUACUCCUGGUCCUGCCUUUUCUUCUUUCACUAUUUCCUUCUACACCAGUGUUUGUUUUUUAUCAGUCCCCCUAGUUCUCUCCCUUAUUUUACUUCCCUUUCUACCCCCUCCCUUAUUAUUCCCCCUUAUUUUCCCUGUAGUCUUCCUAAGAUUGACCCCCACCCUCUCCCUUCCUUAUACUGCUUCUCUCCCCACCAGUCCAUUUGUUACCCUUCUACUCCCCUAUAGGGAGCAAAUCUAUUCUCUGCCCCAAUGGAUUGGAUUGUUCUUCCCUCUUUGGGUCAACUUCAAAGCAUGUAAGAGUUGA
rnacentral:lncRNA from 1 species